CAUAUCCAAUUUAACAUUCAAAAUAGUUACAUCAAUUAAAGAAAUUUACUUAACAAAGUAAGGAAGAUCAAGAACAUAUAGGAGGAAAUAAGCCCAAGUGACACCAGAAAUUCCACCAAAAAAGAAUCCACCAGUGAAUUUAGCCCAUCCAUCUGCAGUUUGCAAUUGAUCUGGUACUUUUUUCCUGCCAGUCAAUGUUAAUGCUGGUGCUGUUGAUGGAUCUCCUUCUUUGAAUGAUGAAAUUCCAUAAAUUG